UUCAAACAGUAUGUAGUUAAAUGGAAGUCUUAUCUACAUACACACAUGAACAUGUAUAGAAGACAGCUCGCCAAAUGCACACUUUUAUGUAGGUCUAAGUUUAAGUCUUUAAAAUGAUACCAAUGAAGGUGGCAUCACUAUUUCUAAAGCUGAAGAUCUAUCUGGAUAAAAUUUUACAAGAGAUCAAGAAAUACAAAUUGGAUGAUUUGAGGGACUGUGAUGAGAAAAUGCAUUGUGGCAGUGGCACGUGGAAAGGAAGAUGCUCACCUCAUAGCAACCAAGAAGCAAAUAGAGGAAGGCACCAGUGUCUGCAUGUCUUCAAUAGCGCGCUCUUACCGCAGACUCAGCUCCUCUCCACGGGGUCCCACCUCUUGACGUUGGCUCCCAGCGGUGUCACAGGUCAGCUCUUUAGCAAAUGGGCCCCUGGGGCUUACUUAUCCCAACCUUAACUCUCAUGGAUCUAACCUGGGGCCAUCAGGCUCUAAGAGUUGAGGUUCCCCUCCCUCUGUGAUCUUCUCUGCAAAAAGCAGACAGUACUUCGUUCACAAACAGAAUCCAUGCUGGUUUGCUUUUUAUUCUUUGGGGCUUAUUUCAGAGUAGAACUCUUGAAAGUAUGGGCCUGGCCAACUCUGCACACUAACAGCUCCUUCAUUUACAGAUAGAUUACAUGUAAGAGGAUUAACCUGUGUAACAGGGGAAAACAGGAAUCGGAAGUCGGUCAUACCGUCUCCGUUUAGAACCCAAUCUAUCUCGGUGUGUAUAAAACACCAAGCAGCAUCCCAAACACCCAUGCCUUGGCUUCUGCAUUGGGAUGGUGGGAUGAUAACGGUCCAAACUCAACAGAUGCUGGGGAUCCAACACGGGAGCCACGUGUAGU
rnacentral:lncRNA from 1 species